rnacentral:rRNA from 1 species
GACGAACGCUGGCGGCGUGCUUAACACAUGCAAGUCGAACGGAAAGGCCCUGCUUUUGUGGGGUGCUCGAUUGGCGAACGGGUGAGUAACACGUGAGUAACCUGCCCUUGACUUUGGGAUAACUUCAGGAAACUGGGGCUAAUACAGGAUAGGAGCUCCUGCUGCAUGUUGGGGGUUGGAAAGUGGCGGCGGUUGGGGCUGGGGGGGCGGCGUAUCGGCUGGAUGGGGGGGUAGUGGCUGACCAAGGCUUUGACGGGUAGCCGGCCUGGGAGGGUGGCCGGGCGCCAUGGGCCUGAGGUAGGGCCCAGUCUGGUACGGGAGGCAGCAGGGGGGAGUAUUACACAAUAGGCCGAAGCCUGAUGCAGCAACGCCCCGUGCGUGAUAACCGCCUUCUGGUUGUAAACCGCUUUCGCCUUUGACGAAGAGUGCGUGACGGUAAUUGGUAAAGAAGCCCCGGCUAACUACGUG